rnacentral:lncRNA from 1 species
GAAGAGGAAGAACGUGCACAUGUUUACCCAAUUACAUGUGCUGAACUGCUAAGUGGGGAGAAUUUUAACUGCCUUGAAGGAAGGCAAAAUUGGGACACUCUAGACACCCGAUCAAGUGGACAAUUAGAGGUGUUGAGUGGAAAUUGACAAAGACCAAUCUUGACGAAUCUAAGAACUGGUAGUCUCGCCAGAUAUUGAGAAAUGAUGUAUUAAACCAGUAUAUUCCAGAUCACUUGUAAAGGAAAGCCGCAACAAAGCUAGCAAAUGGUUGUAUAUACGGAAAGACAGUACGAUGGAUAGAUAUGGCCUAAGAAGUUCUGUCUAGGAGAUUGGGUUUUAAGCGGGACCAGUGUGACCCCUCCAAUCUUUCCUGGGAACUUGCUUAGUGGAAGGAUUAUCCAUACGGUACUAUUUUCGUAUAUAUAGCAGUUUGUAAUGAAAUGGUUGAAGACUAGCAGGAUGACGGCACAAGGGAACAGUUGGGUUCCGAAUGAUCAAGGAUAUGAUAAAGUGGUGAUUUCUCCAAAGAAGUUAGAUUCGGUGACUGUAAUUUCUCGAAGGGAGAAUUGAUGAAGACCCUGAUAAUGGAAGAGAAAUACACAAGGAGAUAAAUAUUGGCACCCUAUUUUGACUUGGAUAGGUGUUAUGACAGGAUGAGCUGCUGUCAAACAUAAGCAAGGAAUAGGGAGAAAUCUGGAGAACAGAAAUUGCACGAGGGCACACGGAGAUUGUGCAGGAGUACCCGUAGGAUCCAACGAGGUGCUGUAAUGAGACAACAGGUGCAAGGAGAAGAAGUGUUCCCAGAUGAAGCUCAGAGCAGAGACUGUUAAAGGUUGUACAACAGGAAGUCUCUUGUGCUCUUAAUGAAGACAACAGGCGAAGACCUUUCCAAUGCAUGCAAGGAUGGAAAGAGAGCUGUUGUAGAAGCACCUAAUUGAGGGUGUGCAAACGCCUGUGUUAAAAGGCGACCGCCUAUGAUGAAAGGCGAAGACACUAAAGAGAGUUGGUGUAGGUGGAGCUAUCAAGCAGAAAGGCAUAGAAGCUCUAAACAUAGAAAAUGAGAUGGAGGAUUGCGAAGAGUGCACCGCAACUCUCUCUUUCUAUGUGAUCAGUGGCAGUGAUCUCUCCCAAGUCCACAUGGUGGUAGAGAAUCUUGGAGCCACUGUAGACAUCCCCGAUGAAGGAGGAUGUGACCGCUUCACGACAGACGGAGACACCUCGGGAGAAGGUGUGAGGACUAUGAUAUGAGUCCAAGUUCAGACCGUCUCAUGACGACAGGCGGAGACACCUCGGAUGGAAGGUGUGCGGACCAUGAUAUGAGUCCAAGUUCAGACCGUCUCAUGACGACAGGCGGAGACACCUCGGAUGGAAGGUGUGAGGACCAUGAUAUGAGUCCAAGUUCAGACCGUCUCAUGACAACAGGCAGAGACACCUCAGAAGAAGGUGUGCGGACCAUGAUAUGAGUCCAAGUUCAGACCGUCUCAUGACGACAGGCGGAGACACCUCGGAUGGAAGGUGUGAGGACCAUGAUAUGAGUCCAAGUUCAGAACGUCUCAUGACGACAAGCAGAGACACCUCAGGAGAAGGUGUGAGGGCCAUGAUAGGAGCCCAAUUUCAGAACGCCCUAAAGACCGAUGUGAUGGUUGGAUAUAAGUGGACAAGUGUAUAGCCAAUUGGCUAUGAUGAGUAUGGAGACAAAUGCAGGAUUGACUUUCAUGGAUAUUUCCCCCAUGCUAAAGAUCAAUGAGCUAGAAGACAUUUGCCUUGGACAAUAAGUGGAUGACUUGUGGAGCAUUAAGACGCGACUGCUAUGAAGGAGCAGAGGGCAUGCGCAGGUUCCGGGAACAAGUUGACUCUUGUCAAGGUGGUGAGCUCAGUAAUGACAUUGUAAUACUCAGAGUAUGAAGAUAGAGAUGGAUCAACCUUUAAUGGGCUGUCCCCAUGGUUAAAAGGGAGAGCUACCUGGACUCUUGAGACUAAGAGUGGGAGACUCACGGAGAAGUAAGGCGUGGUUCCUAGGGAGGAACAGAGGGCAGACGCAACUCCAGGAUGAGUAGACUCUUGGAAGAGUGGUGAGCUCGUGAUCAUAUUGAAAUACUCAAUGACUGUCGCACUUGGAAAUAUCCGUUUGAGGGGGUGUUGUAAGCCUUGGUGUAAGGCUUGAUAAAUCAUUCCGGGCCAAGAAUGGUUGAUAUGCUUGAAGGGAAUGUUGUUCCAGAGACAAGUGUUAACACUCUUCAGAUGAGAUGUGACAAACCAUCUAGUUGAAGUGAUCCUUUGGAGUGAGCAAAGGGGUGCUUGGAUGACUCUGGUGAUUAAAAGGUUUGGCAAGUACCUGGAAACUUGGCCAAAGACGCUCUCAGAAUGGUAAGCUUGGAAGAGCUGCAGAAUGCAAGCAUGUGCUGAAGAAGCAAGAAGACAAUUGCCCACAUGAAUGGCAAAGGGGGUGAUUGUUGGGUUGUUGCCAUUGCAUGUGCAGCAAAUGGUUGGCACCAACCAUUGACUAUUGGCAGCCACCAUUGUUGAAUGAGCUGGAGACGGUGGCCACCAUUAUUGACCAAAGAACAAGUGGAGCUGCCAUGGAUGCCUAUAAAUAGAGGCAUAUGUUAGAGAGCAAAGAUGUGAGAGUUAAGAGAAGGAGAGUGUAGAGCCAAAGAUGUGAGAGAUGUAGGAGAGAGUGGGCUGCCAAGGCAGCCAGCAGUAGCUGCCAUUGCAGCACUGAGAAGAGAGAAAUAGAGUGAGGUUGAGAGUUGCUAAAGAGGGGAUAAUUCCUCCUCCUCUAUUGUUGUAAAUCUUGUUCUCUCCCUAUAUAAUUCAAUGGCUUCUCCCGUGGAUGUAGGCGGUUUGCCGAACCACGUUAAAUAUUGUGUCAGUGUGCUUAGCCUCCAAUGGGCAAAUAUCAGAACAUCACCGGUCGGAAUUCCCUACACUCCGAUCUGCGUCGCGGUUUUUUUGGUGUUGCUCUCCAACGACGAUUAUCCGCAUCACAGGAGGGUGGCCCCAAUCUCCUGCUUUCCUUCUGAAACGAAUUCUCUCUGUGAUAAACUUAGGAAAAGCUUAUGGUAUGGUAUUUGUAUGAGAUGUAUAACCCCCGAACUUUGCCAUUUUGUGAGUGGAUUGUUCUUUAAUCCCCGUACAUUAAUUAAGUCAUGGUAGACAGAAUAUAUUUUGAUUAUAAAAUAUUUGAUCACCACAGGAUUGAUUUGGUGGGUCAUGGGUAAAGAAUUACUACUUCAAUCGUGAGGUUGAAUGUCUUAGUUGAUUAAUUAGUAAAGGGAAACUAAAUUAAAUAUAAAAUCUCCCUUUAAGAGAGAUUGAGUUAAAUCGUGUAAGCAUUUGGAAUCUACAUCUCAUCGAGAGCCAAAAUGACUUGUACCGUUCCUAAAAAAGACAGAAGGAAAAGACUAGAAAUCUCUCGUUCUUUGAAAUCGCGGAUAUUUUGUGCGUUUGGCAAAUUCUUCGAGGACCACAAAUGUUAUCUUCAGACAUUGUUAAUUUGCCAAGUGGAGUUCCAAACGAGCUCACGCAACUUGAAGCUAGCUCUUUCCUUUCAUUUUAAGGCUAGUCACCCUAGUUUCUUACCUUUUAGAUCUCGAAUCUCGAUUAGUCUAAGCCUAUUCAAGUUUACGUGGACAAAACUCAACUCAACUCUCCUCUUAUUUUCUUCACGCGUAAAGAAUUUGCUCGAACCCCUCCAAUUCAAACCCCUCGGCCUCCUCUCUCUUUACCGAAUCCUCAACUAAGAAACAAUUGCUUCGUCUUAAGCAAAUGAUCUCAGCCCAGGAACAUACACGCAUGGCACAUGGACAUUCAUAGCAUGUUAGACCGACCGACAAUGACAGAUCAUGGGAAAGAGUCACCUGAUGAUUUCAUAAACUUUGGAGAACAAAUGCUACGGGGGUCUCCUUGCUCAGUUGUUGGUGCAUACACUUAACGCGUGGCCACAGAUAUUAGCAAUUUUCUUCUAUUUCAAACAAAGUACUCGGAGAUUAGUAGAUAGGAUACGGGUGAGUGGGGUCUUAUUUGGAAGGGGGAUUUUCGGAUUGAACUAUUUGUUUAGCAGAACAGAUUUUUAAUCAUCUACUAGUAUUUUGGCUUUUGUUUGGGAAAGCUUGAUCUCCUCUAGUAGAUACACCUGAAAACUUAUCUUGAGAUUCAUCUUCAUGUAUUUGUUAGUAAUAAUUACCCGUUCUUGACUUGAAUUGUAUAUGCGUUGAAAUUUUUUCUCUCUCUCUUUUUAUCGAGUGUUCAGUUUGGUGGGAUUUUUUAGGCAUUGACUUGCAAGGAAAAUAAAUGGAUUUGCUUGACAUUAUAGUUCAUAUCUUUUACUUUAUAUAAUUUAGUCUUUACAUGUAAGAAAUGGACGUCUCAGGAUAAUAUAAUGUUUUUUUUUUUUUUAAAAAAUCAUCCAGUGGAACAGAC